AAUAUGCGUCUAUCAAAUUCCCCCACACUUAGCUAUUGCUAGUCCUCGAGCAAAAUAAAACAAAUAAAACAUAAAAAAAAAACAAAACGAAACCAAACAAACAAAAACAACCUAAACCUUCCAACGUUUGCCUUAGGGAUUUCCAAUGCACAUGACAUGUUAAAGAUUAUCAUUCCCACAGAAUUGAGUCAAUUUAACACUUAAGCACAUACUUAAUCAUAGUCACUACUUACAAAUUCACAAUUAACCAAUUAAAACAAUGUUUUGAAUGUAGUAACAUGCCUUAGAGAAUUCCCUCAAUCCUUACAAGAUAUGCACUCUAUUUUCACUCAGAUUUUCUAACUACACACCCUAUACUAGUUAUAUGUGAGAGAAUUGAUGUAGAUAUAAAAACGAAUGCUCACAUAUAUGUAUAACAAAGAACACAAUUUCUAGAGUUAAUAAGCAUGUUGAGAUAUGAUCUCAUGAAUGGAAUGCUACUACUUAGAUGCGAGAACCAGUGACCAUAUGCUCAUACCAAGUUCAAUCUCCACAAAUUGAAACACAUAACACUCAAGAUAGAAGUCAAGGGUUGUAACGGGGCUUGGGGUAUUGGCUAACAAAGAAAGGAUAAGGAAAACAAACGUUCUUAAAGUGAUAGUAAGCAAAGUAAUGAAAUUGAGACUUAGAAUUUACUUAGAUUGCAGAAAUUAGCUUUAAAACACAAGGGGAAGAUUUAAACAACUCCUUAGGGUCGAAUUCAUUGUUUUGGACCCCUUCUUCAUCAAACAACACUUUAGAACUCUUUUUCACUUCUUUUCAACUCUUUUCGCAUUCUUUUCUGUUUUCUUUCUUUUUACCCGUGCCUAUGGCACAUAAUUCCUCAUGAAAAACACUUCCCCCACACUUGUUUUCUGCCACAAAGGAAUUCAAUUUGAAUCAUGCUUUACUACGCUUUAAGAACAAGGUUAAUGGAUGGUCCUAAUCUAAGCUAGGUGAGGGUAAUGUGGGUUACAAAGAAAAGGCUCACAAAGCUCAACGGGGUUAAAACGUACAAAACAUAAUGACAUAGGGGAUUCACGGCUUUUUGGUUAUGGUGGUGGUCACUACACAACUUUAUCUUGAAUAUGUGUUAUGCAAAUCAAUGACAUGCUUUGAAUGAAAUGGGUAUGAGUUCUAGCAUUUGGAACUAAAUGAUGAAACGCCUUCUAAGUAGUAACCAAGCAAAGAAUAAUGAGAUCAUGCAACGACUUAGAAAACAAUAAAUCACAGAUUAUUAACUCUCCAAAUAAAC
rnacentral:lncRNA from 1 species